GCAGCGAGCAGGGCCCCAUCUGCCCCCUCUGUAAUUUGGCGGCGGGGUCCCCAGGACGGUUCCUCGGCGGUGAAGGGCCCCAGGCUGCGGAGGAGCAGCACCUACAUCCCAGGUACUUUGGACACGGCGUAGCCCUUCAUGGUGCGGACCCCUGGGCAAUGCUUCAGGAGCACUUUGCUGUGAUUUGGAAAAACACUAGGUGUCAUCAUUGAGCCUGACUUUAUCGGCACCAUGUCGAAUGACAGAUCGACAUCCCCGCCUGCUAGAGACGCCCACAAUCUUGCGUAAUCUCGGAUUUGUGUGCCCGUCUCGCCCAAAGCUGCUUCAGCCCA